CAUGCCGUAAACGAUGAUAGCUAGGUGUGGGGGGACUGACCCCUUCCGUGCCGCAGCAAACGCAAUAAGCUAUCCACCUGGGGAGUACGACCGCAAGGUUGAAACUCAAAGGAAUUGACGGGGGCCCGCACAAGCAGUGGAGUAUGUGGUUUAAUUCGAAGCAACGCGAAGAACCUUACCAGGUCUUGACAUCCAACUAACGAAGCAGAGAUGCAUCAGGUGCCCUUCGGGGAAAGUUGAGACAGGUGG
rnacentral:rRNA from 1 species